rnacentral:rRNA from 1 species
GGGACGCGCAUUUCAAGCGCCCGUGUCGUUGGGUCAAACCAGCGACUGCGUUGGCGUUGCGGGCUCGGUCCGUCGGUGCCCACAAAGGCACCGGCGUGUCAACCGGCCCGCCCGUCCCCUCCUUCUGGAUUCCCGUUCCUGCUAUUGAGUUAGUGGGGACGUCACAGGGAGCUCAUCGUCGUCAGCAAUGCCGGCGGUGGGUUCCUGGGGCCCAGAUCGUUUACCGUGAAAAAAUUAGAGUGUUCAAAGCAGGCAGAUCCAAUUUUCUGCCACCGAAUACAUUAGCAUGGGAUAAUGGAAUAGGACCCUGUCCUCCUAUUUUCAGUUGGUUUUGGCAGCGCGAGGACUAGGGUAAUGAUUAAUAGGGAUAGUUGGGGGCAUUAAUAUUUAAUUGUCAGAGGUGAAAUUCUUGGAUUUAUGAAAGAUUAACUUCUGCGAAAGCAUCUGCCAAGGAUGUUUUCAUUAAUCAAGAACGAAAGUUAGGGGAUCGAAGACGAUCAGAUACCGUCGUAGUCUUAACCAUAAACGAUGCCGACCAGCGAUUAGGAGACGUUGAAUACAAAACACCACCAUCGGUGCGGUCGUCCUUGGCGUCUCGGUUUCGGCCGGGGCGCGGGGACGGCUUAGCCCGGUGGCACCGGUGAAUGACUCCCCUAGCAGCUUGUGAGAAAUCAUAAGUCUUUGGGUUCCGGGGGGAGUAUGGUCGCAAGGCUGAAACUUAAAGGAAUUGACGGAAGGGCACCACCAGGAGUGGAGCCUGCGGCUU